UGGGGAAUUUUGGACAAUGGGCGCAAGCCUGAUCCAGCCAUGCCGCGUGCGGGAAGAAGGCCUUCGGGUUGUAAACCGCUUUUGUCAGGGAAGAAAUCUUCUGAGUUAAUACCUCGGGGAGGAUGACGGUACCUGAAGAAUAAGCACCGGCUAACUACGUGCCAGCAGCCGCGGUAAUACGUAGGGUGCAAGCGUUAAUCGGAAUUACUGGGCGUAAAGCGUGCGCAGGCGGUUUUGUAAGACAGAGGUGAAAUCCCCGGGCUCAACCUGGGAACUGCCUUUGUGACUGCAAGGCUUGAGUGCGGCAGAGGGGGGAUGGAAUUCCGCGUGUAGCAGUGAAAUGCGUAGAUAUGCGGAGGAACACCGAUGGCGAAGGCAAUCCCCUGGGCCUGCACUGACGCUCAUGCACGAAAAGCGUGGGGAGCAAAACAGGAUUAGAUACCCUGGUAGUCCACGCCCUAAAACGAUGUCAACUGGUUGUUGGGAAGGUUCCUUCUCAGUAACGUAGCUAACGUGUGAAGUUGACCGCCUGGGGAGUACGGCCGCAAAGGUUGAAAACUCAAAUGAAUUGACGGGGUCAUAGCUGUUU
rnacentral:rRNA from 1 species